rnacentral:rRNA from 1 species
AGUGAACGCUGGCGGCAGGCCUAACACAUGCAAGUCGAACGGCAGCGGGUAGGAAGCUUGCUUCCUAUGCCGGCGAGUGGCGGACGGGUGAGGAACACAUCGGAAUCUACUCCGUCGUGGGGGAUAACGUAGGGAACUUACGCUAAUACCGCAUACGACCUAAGGGUGAAAGUGGGGGACCGCAAGGCCUCACGCGAUGGAAUGAGCCGAUGUCCGAUUAGCUAGUUGGCGGGGUAAAGGCCCACCAAGGCGACGAUCGGUAGCUGGUCUGAGAGGAUGAUCAGCCACACUGGGACUGAGACACGGCCACGACUCCGUACGGGAGGCAGCGAGUGGGGAAUAUUGGACAAUGGGCGAAAGCCUGAUCCAGCCAUGCCGCGUGGGUGAA